AAAUAAGAAGCAAUUUAGCAAUUAGUUUCGACCUAGUUAUUGGUAACAUUUUUACCCUUAUUUA
rnacentral:tRNA from 1 species